CAGCAGCCGCGUUAAUACGUAGGGUGCGAGCGUUAAUCGGAAUUACUGGGCGUAAAGCGUGCGCAGGCGGUUAUAUAAGACAGAUGUGAAAUCCCCGGGCUCAACCUUGGACCUGCAUUUGUGACUGUAUAGCUAGAGUACGGUAGAGGGGGAUGGAAUUCCGCGUGUAGCAGUGAAAUGCGUAGAUAUGCGGAGGAACACCGAUGGCGAAGGCAAUCCCCUGGACCUGUACUGACGCCCAUGCACGAAAGCGUGGGGAGCAAACAGGAUUAGAUACCCCAGUAGUCCCUGUCUCUUAUAC
rnacentral:rRNA from 1 species